rnacentral:rRNA from 1 species
UACGUAGGGGGGCAAGCGUUGUCCGGAUUUAUUGGGCGUAAAGAGCGUGUAGGCGGCCAGACAGGUCAGCUGUGAAAACUCGAGGCUCAACCUCGAGACGUCGGUUGAAACCGUCUGGCUAGAGUCCGGAAGAGGAGAGUGGAAUUCCCGGUGUAGCGGUGAAAUGCGCAGAUAUCGGGAAGAACACCCGUGGCGAAGGCGGCUCUCUGGGACGGUACUGACGCUGAGAGACGAAAGCUAGGGGAGCGAAUGGG